UUUCAGGUACUGGAUUUCUGACUCUUUGACCCGCAACAAGACCUAUAAGAAGAGGGAAAAUGAGGACUGACUCUCAGGAACCAGCCUUCUCUGGAAUCCUCUUGCUUCAGCUUCCUAAGCAGUUGGGAGUACAUGUGCUUGCCACUGCAGAAUGAGCUGUUGUGAUUGAAAACAAACAUCCUGGACUCCGAGAAGUUAAGUCAUAAUAGAAUCUGAGAACAGCAGGAUUCCUGUAGCCCUGAAGAUCCUCAUGGCAUCUAGAGGGACCCCUGUUUCUGCCUGUGGACCUCAGGGUACUUGUCAGCUAACCAAUGACUUUGGGCCUUCCCAUAGCUUUCAAAAGUUAGCUUGAAGCUUUCUUUUCUUGUAGCUGCUACAGAGCUAGAGAUGAACCCAGAGUUUUGCAUGUAAGCAGGCAUUCUUCUAUUGAACUGUACCCUUCUGGCCUUUUCUUAAAAUCUGGUCCCUCAAUGACUCUAAGAUAAAGAGCUUUAGUAUGACCCAGGAGCUCCUGAAUAAGGCAGUGCCUUGCUUCUUACAGUACCUCUAACUCAUAGGCAUCCUUGCCCUGUGUGAGAGGCAACCCAGUGGACUCCCCACCACCGUCUCCAGUCAGUAGUGUCCGCAACCGUGUGAUCUCCGCAGCCAGGCGGUUAUUCAGCUCCUGGGGGACAACAGCACAACACAACAGUGACCAUCCCCACACACAGUUGCAUAAGACACUAGAGAAGGUCACUUCUUAACCAGUAGCGUACAGAGGCCUAAGAAUGGAGCCCCCAAGCCUUGUGCAUGUUCAGUGCUAUGUUUAAGGUAGACAUUUAAGGAUACAUAAAAGCUGUUCAUAUAGGUUGUGAGGCUAUGUGAGGACUUAUAACCUGUCAGAAAUUGGUUCUGAGACCUCUAUUAGGCACCAAAUUCUGUGGAUGUUCAAGUCCCAUUACAAAUGGCAUACAAUAUCUGCAUAAUCCUCCCAUAUACAAUAGGCUGUCUCUACAUUAUGUCUAAUACCCAGUACCAUCCACACAAUUCCUAAGUCCUUAGCUGUAACGUAUUAUGCAGGGAGGAGGGAUAAGAAAAUAGUAGAUGUCCACUGCAAAUGACUGUUUUCCUCCCUGGAACAUUUGCUAUGUUUGGUCAGCUGAAUUCAGAACUGAUUCAGAACUCAUAGCAGCAAAAUGCCAAUUGUGUCUCUAGAGCGAAGAUUCCAUGGAUCUUAAAAUUAAAAUCGUUCUGCUGUGGGCAGUGUUAUCUUUUCCCACUUGA